AAAGGAAUAGACGGGGGCCCGCACAAGCGGUGGAGCAUGUGGUUUAAUUCGACGCAACGCGCAGAACCUUACCAGCUCUUGACAUGUCCAUGACCGGCCGCAGAGAUGCGGCUUUCCCUUCGGGGCAUGGAACACAGGUGCUGCAUGGCUGUCGUCAGCUCGUGUCGUGAGAUGUUGGGUUAAGUCCCGCAACGAGCGCAACCCCCGUCCUUAGUUGCUACCAUUUAGUUGAGCACUCUAAGGAGACUGCCGGUGAUAAGCCGCGAGGAAGGUGGGGAUGACGUCAAGUCCUCAUGGCCCUUACGGGCUGGGCUACACACGUGCUACAAUGGCGGUGACAGAGGGAUGCGAAGGAGCGAUCCUUGGCAAAUCUCAAAAAGCCGUCUCAGUUCGGAUUGGAGUCUGCAACUCGACUCCAUGAAGUUGGAAUCGCUAGUAAUCGCGGAUCAGCACGCCGCGGUGAAUACGUUCCCGGGCCUUGUACACACCGCCCGU
rnacentral:rRNA from 1 species